CAUCAGCUAAGCGGCAUCAUUCACAGAAGCAGACGGAGUCAACAACAAUGUUCCUAAACGAUGCUCAACGUCAACAAUACAGAAGCACGCACCGUCAAUUCAUAGCGGUAAACGACAAAAAUACGUGAAGAACGAUCCAGUACAUCCUGCCCUUGUCGUCUUCUCCCUUUGCCUUGCCUCAACGGUACGAACAGUGCUAGGUGGGACAAUCUCAACGUUUCACUCGUCCUAGCGUCAAGAUCGAACGGCCAUCAUUGGCGAGCCGUUUGAAACUAUUGAAGAAUUGGGUAUAAUCUUAUCCUUGUACAAUAAUUCAAAUUGGGAAUUUCUAUUUUUCCCUAAUUCUUAUCUGUUGGAGGACAAAGGUUAAGAAAACAGAAAAAAAGGGAUGCAAAAAAUUACAGUGAAUACACAACUCACUCUUGGGGUAAAUGAAUACUUGACAUAUAAAUAUACAAGUCGUUUCUUCUCUUGUUCGAAUCUUUGACACCCCUGCUUUGUUCGUUCGGAUUCUCAGAGUUUCUUGUGUGGUGGUGGAAUCGCUUCGUCCUUGAUUAAAGAUUAUUGGAGCAUCAUUAUUUGGCCUUCUUCUCUCUAAAUAUGACCCGGUGGUAUGCUUAAAAAAUUGAUGUUAGUCCUAUUGUGGUAAAUCUUACUCCUAGUUCUGUUUCAUUCUGUGAUUUGAAGUUUAAAGCACUGCAUAGCACUAGGUAUCUCUGACAUGGCUAACCAACAAGCUUUCCUCUGGGCUCUUGAUCGUACUGUGGAAACUUGUUUUAGUUAUUCCUUCCCGUCUUCACUAAAAUCAGAAAAUAUAACUGCAAAUUUCCAACACUAACUUCAAAUUUCCUCUUCCAUUUGUUAAACUCUAACUAGUUAUCGAACCCAUAGGACAAAGAUAUGUGUUAAAUAAGCAGUAAAAAUGAAUUUUCAAAAAUUUAAAACUUAUCCAAGUUUGCUGCUGCCGCUGCCGAUGUCUGCUGCUGCUACUGAGGCGGUGGCGGUCUGGAUGGGUGAAGCUGGGACGACCAAGCGUAGAAUAGUAAUUUAAUCAUGUCUAUGUUUUUAAAUUAAAGUUGUAUUUCAGUUGUUCUUGAAAAAUCUAUUCCUUCUGAAACAACAACUUCUCGAUUGUUCUUCACUCUCGACAUCUCUCUUUCAAAAAAUCUUGAAGGAACCAAAUUCUCCAAACGUCCUCUUCCCUAAAACAUCUGCAGAACUCUCAACAAAUCCUCCAAAUCCAAUAUGCAGAGCCGAUAAAGACAAGCUUUUUAAUGUCAUUUUCGUCAAUCUCUCCUCCUUUUUAGUAGCGGUCAUUUGAGCAGCAACAGCCACAUGAACUGACCUUCAGUUGUAGCCAACAGAAGGAAUUGCUCUCUACACAUUCAUGUCUGCUUCACCGUCUCCAACUUCGAUUCUUUUGUUCGGAACCUCAAGGUUGAGUUUAAUCCUCUAUUUUCUCUUAUUCAGUUCUAUUAGAAAAUUUAUAUGAUUAAUGGUUUCUCUUUUUUUUUGUUUGAUUCAAGUAUUAUAGAAGAUGUGUUGCUGUUUUCAAUUUCAAUUUCUGUUUAAGAUUAUCCUAAAUUAAUUGUUGAGCCGAUGAUCUAUCAAAAAUAGUCUCUCAGUCUCUCUAUCUCUUAGGUAGGGGUAAGAUUUGCCUACACUCUACCCUUUCCAAACCACUUUUGGUGUGACUACAAUGACUAUUGUUCCUGAUGAUUAUGUUAGAUGUGAUGUCAAAGUGCUGGUACCAACCUUAAUCUGAUGAUUUUUGGUAUCUUUAUGUCAAUUACCUCUUUCCUUUUACCCUUUUAGUAGAUGAUGUUAAUUCUUGUAACGACAAUCUGAAAAUAAAAUUGUGUAAAAUGAGUUUCCUUUGAAUGAGAUAUGUGAAGGGCCAUCCAUAUAGGAAGAGGUGCUGAUUAAUUUGAUUGUCGCUUCUUUGAGGUUUAUCAAGGGGAUUGGAGUUGUUCUUUUCCUAUAAAUGCAUCAAGUUUUUCUUGUUUUAUUUGUUGCAUGUAUUUAAAAGAAGUACAUUAGUAUAACACCUCGGAAAUUGGAAAGUAAAAAAGAAAGGAAAAACUCUUAAUUGUUAUAUGGCUUCUGCCGCUUUCUGGCAUAUCCACAUGCAUAGAAAAUAUCUCUGUUAUGUGAUGUAUAUUUUGGUCAGUAUCCAUAUAAGCAAACCAUUGCUAUUUUUCAGGAUAACUUCUAUCCUUAUCUUUGUAUAUUUUAGAUGCACCAACAGAAGUUGUAAUUUUUGAAAUCGAAGUGUGGUGGGAGACUUUGAGCUGAUGCUAUAGUAUUUUCUUUUGAUUAUUGUGGUGUCCCAUUCGUCUUGUGCACACCUUGACUAAUUUCAUGGGGCUCCUGCUAUCUUCUACCAGCAUCCAUGAACGUAUUAAGAAUGUUAGAAACUCAUUCUUUUGUUAUUUGUUGGUAUUUAUCGAUUGGUGAUAUAGAUAUGCUGCCUCUUCUGCUUUUAGUUUUUAAAAAAUAAUGAUCUAACUUGUGGAUGAUGGGCUUAGAGCCUGUUUGGAUGGGCUUUUAAGCUGGUCAAACUGGCUUAAAAAGCCAGUUUUUGACUUAUUAAAGUGUUUGCCAAUUAUCAAAGUGACUUAUUUUAAGUCAGAAAUGACUUAUUUUAAGCCAAAAGCUAAAAGCUAGGGGAGGGGAGCUUUUUUGUU